GAUGAAGAACGCAGCGAAAUGCGAUAAGUAGUGUGAAUUGCAGAAUUCCGUGAAUCAUCGAAUCUUUGAACACACAUUGCGCCUUCUGGUAUUCCGGAAGGCAUGCCUGUUCGAGAGUCAUUAACAACCGUUUCGAUCCCUUUCUUUCAGAAAUUACAAAGAGGAAAAGGGUUUGGUUAUGGUGGAGGAGGGAAAGGGAGCGUUUAGCCUGUAAAAAAAGAGGCUGUGUUCCGCCUCCCCCCCAAAAUUGUACAGGCGGUCGUGUGCGCCCACGCAUCGAGGUGUUGUAAAAGCUGCCACGGCACUUUUCACCUGUGCAGUGCGAGAUUUGCCAGCCGGUUUAAAAACCCCUCCAAACAAUCAAAGGUUGACCUCGGAUCAGGUAGGGAUACCCGCUGAACUUAAGCAUAUCAAUAAGCGGAGGA
rnacentral:misc_RNA from 1 species